rnacentral:lncRNA from 1 species
CACUGCUGCAUGUCCUUGUGUGUAUGUGUAACAAGGGGGGGUGUACGUGCAUUAAGUGUGCAUGGCGCACCUGCGUUGCCAAGAUAGCAAUGAAUGUCUGAAGGUUGAGAGUUGUCAGUGUUUAAAACAGACAGUGGUGCACCUGUGUUUUCUAUUGCCGAGAUAGCAAUACGCCAGCAAUACGUUCCUGAACACGUCUUACUUCUGGAACACCAUGUCCAUCAGCAUUGAUAUAUUCUUAAGCUCCAUUGCUUGUGUAAGAUAAGUCCCUUAGUCUUACUCUAGGGCUAAUCUCCAUCUUCAUCUCUCUUUCCUCUCUCCCCAGGCUUUCUUCCAGGGUAAACUGAAGAUCACAGGGAACAUGGGCAUGGCCAUGAAGCUCCAGAACCUUCAGCUGAAGCCGGGCAAUGCCAAGCUGUGAGGGUCCAAACCCACCAUUCCGGAGUGGCAACCUAGAGAAUAGAGUCUUUUAGAUUGACUGAGCCAGAGACGGAGAAACUCACUACUUAGACAUAGUGUUUAAUCUGCACUUUGGCCUGGGACCUGUCUUCAUGAACAGUUUUAGAAGAGGAGUGCUAAUGUUAGAUUAGAGACUUUUUUCCAAUUAAAACUAAUGAGUACCCAAUUCAUCAACAAACCAGGAUUAUGGAUCAGCUCUCCUGCUUUUAGACGUGUUCCGAUGACAGGGUCUGUUCUUCUUCUAACAGGGCAAGUGUCUUCAUGCUGUUACCGGGGGAAACUGAGGGUAUAAGUGCCUGUAGUGCAUGUGUAAGAGGUGGCAGGUUAUAUAUAUUUAUGGAAUGGAGGCUCCACAACAUAAUUGGUUGGUUCUGGUUCUAGUCAUUGACUGAUACUGUACUGUAUGUAUGUAUGUAAACAAAGGCGUGUCAUAUUUGCCCAACUGUAAUAUCAGGGUCUGAGGUUUCAAUACGUUUCUGUAGCACAAGACAACACUUUGUUACCUGUAAGCCGUUUCCCAGAGUCUCUGUGUACAACAUUUCUGCGUUUCUGUCCACCCGAAGGCUGAAAUGUUUUUUUUUACUAAAUAAACUUUCCUCUUUCACACUAACA